AAUUGUUAUGAUGAUUGGCCAAGGAUGUUCAACUGCUCUGAACACAAUGAAUGAGAAAUCGCCAUUCUGAACAAUC